rnacentral:rRNA from 1 species
AUUGAACGCUGGCGGCACGCCUAACACAUGCAAGUCGAGCGGUAACAGGAGUAGUAGCAUACUAUUUGCUGACGAGCGGCGGACGGGUGAGUAAGACGUAGGAACUUGCCCUUCAGAGUGGGAUAACCAGAGGAAACUUUGGCUAAUACUGCAUAUACUCGAGAGAGGAAAGGUGCCCUGAAAGGGGUGUCACUGAAGGAGAGGCCUUCGUCCGAUUAGCUAGUUGGUGAGGUAAAAGCUCACCAAGGCGAUGAUCGGUAACUGGUCUGAGAGGACGAUCAGUCACACUGGGACUGAGACACGGCCCAGACUCCUACGGGAGGCAGAAGUGGGGAAUAUUGGACAAUGGGGGCAACCCUGAUCCAGCGGUGCCGCGUGGGUGAAGAAGGUUUUCGGGUGGUAAAGCUCUUUAGGUUGGGAGGAAGUGUGUUGUGUGAAUAACAUGAUGCAUUGACUGUACCGACAGAAUAAGCACCGGCAAACUCUGUGCCAGCAGCCGCCGUAA